rnacentral:rRNA from 1 species
UACGUAGGGGGCAAGCGUUGUCCGGAUUUAUUGGGUGUAAAGAGCUCGUAGGCGGUUCGGUAAGUCAGGUGUGAAAUCUCCACGCUCAACGUGGAGGCGCCACCUGAAACUGCCGUGACUCGAGUCCGGUAGGGGAGUGUGGAAUUCCCGGUGUAGCGGUGAAAUGCGUAGAGAUCAGGAAGAACGCCAAGGGCGAAGGCACUCUGCUAGGCCUGAUUUCGCGACUGACACUCAGGGACGAGAGCCAGGGGAGCGAAUGGG